rnacentral:rRNA from 1 species
UGGGGAAUUUUGCACAAUGGAGGAAACUCUGAUGCAGCGACGCCGCGUGAGUGAUGAAGAUCUUCGGAUUGUAAAACUCUGUCCUUAGUGAAGAUAAUGACAGUAACUAAGAAGCAAGCCCUGGCUAAAUACGUGCCAGCAGCCGCGGUAAUACGUAUGGGGCAAGCGUUGUCCGGAAUUAUUGGGCGUAAAGGGUACGUAGGCGGUUUAAUAAGUCCUAAUUAAAAGGCUAUGGCUCAACCAUAGGAUGGUUAGGAAACUGUUGAACUUGAGUAGAUGAGGGGAAAGUGGAAUUCCAUGUGUAGCGGUGAAAUGCGUAGAUAUAUGGGGGAACACCAAUGGCGAAGGCAACUUUCUGGAAUCAAACUGACGCUGAGGUACGAAGGCGUGGGGAGCAAACAGG